CAGUAGCCGCGGUAACACGAAGGGGGCUAGCGUUGUUCGGAAUCACUGGGCGUAAAGCGCACGUAGGCGGACUUUUAAGUCAGGGGUGAAAUCCCAAGGCUCAACCUUGGAACUGCCUUUGAUACUGGAAGUCUUGAGUUCGGGAGAGGUGAGUGGAACUGCGAGUGUAGAGGUGAAAUUCGUAGAUAUUCGCAAGAACACCAGUGGCGAAGGCGGCUCACUGGCCCGAUACCGACGCUGAGGUGCGAAAGCGUGGGGAGCAAACAGGAUUAGAUACCCCAGUAGUCCCUGUCUCUUAUAC
rnacentral:rRNA from 1 species